UCCUGGGUAGAAUAUACCUGAGGUUUACAGUCUAAUAGUCAUGCCAACAUGUUAACUUUGUAACAUCCUGGGUAGAAUAUACCUGAAGUUUACAAUCUUAUGUUCAUAUCUCUCUCUAUAGAUCUCUUAUCAGCAGUUGGAGGAACUUGUCUAAAGUUUACUAACCAAAGGUAUGGCUAAGUUGUGCAGCAGUCAUUUUUCACAGCCACACGAGAAAAGCCUGGAAAAGCGAAAUCGGAAAGAUUUCCUAAAGGUUAUUUUGCACACUCUCAUUGACGCCAUCAAUACGACGACAACGAUUCACAAUCCAAAAAAAAUCCUAUGCGAAAACCUAGAGCUUCAAUCGAGGAAGGGGAAUCGGCGAUCAAAGUACGGAAUGCUCUCUACGAGCCUUGAGAAAAGGCGCAAACGAA